rnacentral:rRNA from 1 species
GAUAGUGGCGCACGGGUGCGUAACGCGUAACCAACCUACCCGAAUCUGGGGGAUAGCCCGCCGAAAGGCGGAUUAAUACCGCAUAAGACCAUGGAGCGGCAUCGUUCAGUGGUUAAAGAUUUAUUGGAUUCGGAUGGGGUUGCGUGCCAUUAGCUAGUUGGCGGGGUAACGGCUCACCAAGGCGACGAUGGCUAGGGGAGCUGAGAGGCUGGUCCCCCACACGGGCACUGAGAUACGGGCCCGACUCCUACGGGAGGCAGCAGUAGGGAAUAUUGGGCAAUGGUCGAGAGACUGACCCAGCCAUGCCGCGUGCAGGAUGAAGGCUUUCUGAGUCGUAAACUGCUUUUACCAGGGAAGAAAAAAGGGGAUGCGUCCUCUACUGACGGUACCUGGUGAAUAAGCACCGGCUAACUCCGUGCCAGCAGCCGCGGUAAUACGGAGGGUGCAAGCGUUGUCCGGAUUUAUUGGGUUUAAAGGGUGCGUAGGCGG